rnacentral:sRNA from 1 species
CCUGAAUGUUUGGAGCAAAACCACCUUCAUCACCAACAUUAGUAGCAUCUUGCCCAUACUUCUUCUUGAUAACAGACUUUAUGGUAUACUUCAACACCCAUCUUCAUAGCCUCCUUGAAAGAUGAAGCACCAGUAGGGAGGAUCAUGAACUCCUCUAGCUUGUUUCCAGCAUGUGAUCCACCAUUGAUGACAUUGAAAGCAGGCACAGGCAAAACAAGUUGCUUGUUACCAGCAAGGUUAGCAAUGUGCUGCAAUAUAGAAGGCACGUAAUGGUA